AUCACUAGCUAGCCGUAGUUCAGCAUUAGCAUAUAGCAUUAGCAUAUCCUAGUCUUUAGCAUAGCUUUUAGUGUUAUACAUACUUAUUUAGUGUUAGCUUGGCUGUUGGAUAUUGUAGUUUAGUUACUGUUUGGCUGUUAGUGUAAUUAGGAAAGUAGUUCGGGUUUAGUGCUCCAUAUCGUGUUAGCAUGGUGAGAUGGUGUAGUGUAGUAUGGUUGCGGAGCUCUGUCGGGUUGCACUCCUUUCCGCUGGACUUAGAAAUUAGGCGCCAGUGGUUGCGUGUCUGGAAAAGAUUCAGCUCCCGCCUGGUGCUGUAGUUUGCAACCAGCAUUUUACCCGCGAUUCUGCAGUCUCCGUUCCAAGAGGGAGGUUGUGCCCACCGUGGCUCUUCCGCGAUUUAGAUACAGACCACCGACUCUGCUCCCCCACCAUGACGGGCUACAGUCUGAGGCUAAAUCUACCCAAGACACUGGCUGUCAGACUGAUUUAGUAAUCUGCAAGAAUGCACUUGUCCAGGCUGACGUGAAGCCUUGCCCGUAGCAAAGAGCUCACAGCCUCAGUGUCUUGUGACACAGGGACCAUGACAGAAAUUCAUCUUCCAGAAGGUCCCAGAGCAUCCACACCCCCUGAAAAGACCACGUGUGAGGUGUCUGCUGUUGAUUCCAGCUUCCACCUCAGUGACAGUGCAAGCUCAGUGAACUGUUCAAGGAGGCUACUGAUUCUGGCCCUGUGACACUUGGUGGUCACCACCAGGUGGUGACGUGUGAGCUGAUUCACCUGGACACUCAGCAAAAUAUGGACUCUACACCAUGAGGCAGGCACACGUUAAUAACUCUAUAAGAGCACAUAAGCCUGGCUGAUCACCUGAUAACUCAUGUUAUCUGGUUAUGACAGCAUGAGGAUGUCCUCACACACCUGUAACCUACCAGCUCAUCUGGCAGAAUAGAGAGAGAAGAGACAACACCACAUCUCCUGUUCCUGGAAAGCCUUCAGCCAUCCUUCGAUGACUGAGAACCUCCAUCAGCUCUGUCUCCUGUCUGCCUACAAUUAUUAUAAUAAAUAUUGUGUUUGACAAGUU